CCCUUAGAUGUCCGGGGCUGCACGCGCGCUACACUGAAGGAAUCAGCGUGCUAAAACCAUUGUCGAAAGGCAUUAGUAAACCCAUUAAAAUCCUACGUGAUUGGGAUCGGGAAUUGCAAUUAUUUCCCUUGAACGAGGAAUUCCCAGUAAGUGUGGGUCAUAAGCUCGCGUUGAUUACGUCCCUGCCCUUUGUACACACCGCCCGUCGCUGCCCGGGACUGAGCCGUUUCGAGAAAAGCGGGGACUGCUGCUGUCGGGGCUUUCGGGCCUUGGCUUCGGUGGAAACCGCUUUAAUCGCAGUGGCUUGAACCGGGCAAAAGUCGUAACA
rnacentral:rRNA from 1 species